UUUCUCGUAGUUUAGUCGUCAGAACAUUGGUGCGUAACGCCAGAGGUCCCGGGUUCGAUUCCCGGCGGGUGUG
rfam:Agrilus planipennis Contig64587, whole genome shotgun sequence.